rnacentral:rRNA from 1 species
CCUACGGGAGGCAGCAGUCGAGAAUCAUUCACAAUGGGGGAAACCCUGAUGGUGCGACGCCGCGUGGGGGAAUGAAGGUCUUCGGAUUGUAAACCCCUGUUAUGUGGGAGUAAAUUAAAAAGAUAGUACCACAAGAGGAAGAGACGGCUAACUCUGUGCCAGCAGCCGCGGUAAUACAGAGGAUGCGAGCGUUAUCCGGUUUUAUUGGGUUUAAAGGGUGCGCAGGCGGAAGAUCAAGUCAGCGGUAAAAUUGAGAGGCUAAACCUCUUCGGGCCGUUGAAACUGGUUUUCUUGAGUGAGCGAGAGGUAUGCGGAAUGCGUGGUGUAGCGGUGAAAUGCAUAGAUAUCACGAAGAACUCCGAUUGCGAAGGCAGCAGACCGGCGCUCAACUGACGCUGAUGCACGAAAGUGUGGGUAUCGAACAGGAUUAGAUACCCGGGUAGUC